rnacentral:rRNA from 1 species
GAUGAACGCUGGCGGCGUGCUUAACACAUGCAAGUCGAACGAUGAAGCCCAGCUUGCUGGGUGGAUUAGUGGCGAACGGGUGAGUAACACGUGAGUAACCUGCCCUUAACUCUGGGAUAAGCCUGGGAAACUGGGUCUAAUACCGGAUAGGAGCGCCUACCGCCUGGUGGGUGUUGGAAAGAUUUAUCGGUUUUGGAUGGACUCGCGGCCUAUCCGCUUUGUGGUGAGGUAAUGGCUCACCAAGGCGACGACGGGUAGCCGGCCUGAGAGGGUGACCGGCCACACUGGGACUGAGACACGGCCCAGACGCCUACGGGAGGCAGCAGUGGGGAAUAUUGCACAAUGGGCGAAAGCCUGAUGCAGCGACGCCGCGUGAGGGAUGACGGCCUUCGGGUUGUAAACCUCUUUCAGUAGGGAAGAAGCGAAAGUGACGGUACCUGCAGAAGAAGCACCGGCUAACUACGUG